CUCUGGAACUUUAAAACAAAUGCCUGCAUUAGUUAAAGUUUCUGUAUGUGGCAGGCUGGCCAGUCAGCUCACUGGCAGCCCGGACUGUUAGCUUGAGCCUGAAAGGCUCAGCCAUUGUUGGAGACAGUUUUUCCUUCUUCAACAAUCAGAGGAAGGCAGAAAGAAGGCAGCCCCUCCCUGAACCAGGGGUGAGGUGAAAGAGGGGAUCUGAAAGGGAACUAACUCCUCAGGCUUUCUCAUUGGCCCAUUCUCAAUCUGGGAUGGACUAAAAAGAAUAAAAUCUUGGAAGCUGACCACACAGGCAGCUUCAACAUAGGAUGAAGACGGCUGAUAAAGCGCUGGUGUAGCUGACCACUGGGGUGGAGCAGUUGCUCCAGAAGUGCCCAGAAGAUGUCUUCACCAAACAGGAGCAGCAAGUGGCUGCAUCCCAGCCCUGCUAUGGAGAGAGCUGUGACAACAGUGAACAGCUGCUGAACAUCAACUGAAAGACUAAGGAGAUAUACAGGAAUUCUGAAAGUCCAACUUUGAGCUCAGAGGACAAUUACCCAGUGGAAGCACUGAAGAAGACAGCCUUAGGAUGGCCUUCCCCAAGUGCUGUCAUAAAGUGCAUGCUGAGAGCCCAGUUGGAAGAAUAAGAUGGGAUAUUCAGAAACAAAGACAAAGCACAAAGAAUUGUGGCACUCCUGGAUGUGGCUCAAGCCCACUGUGAAACCUAGGUGGCUGCUUAGACAUUCAGGCAGGUCCUCAGCUGUCUACAUUAAAACUAGAAUGUCUUUAGCCCUGAAGCAGCUCAGAAUAAGAAGGCUGUAAAGGUCAUUGAAAGCCACCCACAUCUGGGGCUGUAACAUGUGUAUGUGGAUCUGAACAUUGAGCCUCUGGUUUUAUUAACAGAGCAUUAUAGCCCUAUUAUUUAAAAGUGUGGGGAUGAGGUGAAGGGGGUCUAAAACAAACUUGAUCUUAUUUUAAACUUUUUUAUGUCUUGAAGUAAUUUUAAGAAGCAAAAAGAGCUUUAAUUAAAGGCAAUUGCAAAUGCCAGUUUAAUGUAAACUUUUGCUCUUAAAAUUUGGUUUAAAGAAAAAUAAAUGAGCAAUGUUAAAUUUUAAUUAUUUCAAUAUGCAUGUUUUUGGUCAAGCUUUAUUGAGUGGUCAGGGCAUAUUUAGUCCAUGCCCUUUUAUUAUGUAAGAAAAAUUGUUCUCUCAGAAAUAUGCGCCUCAAAAAUGAUCGUAUGAGUAAGCUGUUAAAAUAUCUAAAAAUCUUUGCCUUUUCCAUAGUGUAUAAUAGCAUAAACUAUAUUCUUAUUAGAUGUAAAAAAGAAGUAGUAAAAUGAGAACCAUUUUUGUUGUAUUACUUUUCAGGUUAUCAGAAUGGAUUUCUAGGAAUGGAUUCUAUUCUUAGUGUGAUCAUAUGCACACCCACCUCUAACUUAAGUUUCAUCACUGCCGAGGAAACCACAGAGCUGUGUUAAAUUUCCUAUUUUAUAAUUUCUGGGUAUUCUGGAACAAAAUUUGGUAGGAGAAGAAAUGGUAUAUGGUUAGCAUAUAGUUGUGUCUGUUUUUAAUGAAUGACAUUUUGUUUGUGCUGGUAAGGGAUAAUGUGGGUUUUUGUUAAGAAAAAAGUCAUUUUCUGAAAACUAUGACAUCUUUGGAAUUUCUCAUCAAUACCUAACACACGAUAAAUAUUUGCCAUAAUUUUAUCUCUCUCAAAGAUACAAUACCUGUAACAUUUUAUAUAUUGCACAUAUUUUUCAUUUUUUUAAAUAAAACCAGGCAGCUAAGCAAGCAAAACAAUCACAGUUAAAAUAUAAAAAUAAAAUCUGAUCCAGCUUUUGUAUGCUCAGAAAAAUACCAGGAAGUUAAUGAAUAUCUAUCUUCAUAUGCUCAUGUUUCUUCUUACUUUAAUACAAAGUAAAUUGAAAUGCAUGAUAUGGCUGUCUUUUUAAUAUAUUUCUAAGGCUUUCUGUUUUAUGUAUAGUUAACACACACUUUUAUAUUUAAAGAUUUUAAUGAUAUUUUUUGUUCCUUAAUAUAACACUCAGUACUUAGGUUUGUAGACUCAACCCUGUAAGUCAGAGGCUGUGGCUACAAGAGAUGCUGACUGCGCAGUUGUUACUGUACAGUCAUUUAGUACUUGCAUACACAAGUACUAAAUAACUAAAUAACCCCAGAAUCCCUGCCCCUCUUAUUUCUCUCUCUUCAUAUCAUAUUUUGGGAGACAACGUCCUUAACAGAAAUAUUCAUCUAGGGAACAAGAUUUAACAUUUGGCCAGAAAAUUCAUUGACUGUUCAUAGGGUUUAAUUCUGUAUUUUUUUCUUUAAUUUUUCUCUUUUGUGUUGCUUUUAUUCUGCAGAACAGGGGUUUUUUUCUGAAACGUGAAGGUAUAAUUUUUGUGUCCAGAAAGGGGUUUUUUUCUUUUUGUCAAAAUGUUGUGGUUGUACUCACUGUGUUAUUUGGAGGCUUUUUUUCCCAUGGAAUCUGGCCAUUCUGGUGCCAGUUUGCAAUUUGCUUUGUAUAAGAAAGAUUUUCAGUCACAGAUGUACCCUAUAGGACAAAAGUACAGAAGACAAAAAUAAAUGUGUUUCCAAAGGCAGGGAUGUUUAUAUAAAGAGUUUGCAGAAAUGUGAAUCAUGGUAAGAAUACAAAUAUCCUGUAAAGCCACGCUAACCACUUUAAAAGUUUAGUAAAAGAACAUUUAACAGAAUACCUAUUCUUCCCCCAAAAUGUAACUUAUAGUACCAGUAUUUUUCUGCACUUCUAAACAUCAUAUCAAAAACCAAACUGAAGUAAGACUAAUUUCUGAACCUGAUUGAAAAGCAUCAGUGCAGUGUUUUGUCAUCAUGUUUCAUUUUGUUACUGUAGAAAUUUGACCACGGAAUAGCUGUGGAAUGCUGACCUCUCACCUAACCCCAGCUUGUGCUAGGGUACUGCAUACAUAUAUAAUGCCUGUAAUAUGACAAAAUAUGACUCCCUGCCCAAAAGAGUUGGUAUCCUAAAUAGCUUUGCCAAUCUAACAAAUGCACACAUUGAUUUUUUUAUAUGACUGUAAGUAGCAUUAUUUGCAUGCUUUACAUUUAAGCCUUUGUACAGUUGAACACUUAGAAACAAAUAGAGUCCUCUUCCAUCUUUAUCAUCAGUGAUACAAUUCAGCAAUGCUCACCAAAUAGCAUGGUGAUGCUGAUGGUUGUUCAACGUUAUUAGUUCAAUGGAAAUGCAAGGUCAAAAUUAAAACUCUUGCAGUUACUAUAUGGGUGGUUUAAGCCAUAGUAACUGUGUAGAACAACACUAUCACCACUUAUCCCCUUUGUGUAAGGAAAAUACCUGGAUUUCAUAGGGCAUGGCCUAGAGUAGUUACCCCAGCUCUGUCUCAGCCUCUGUUAAAAGGAUUGUUGCCUGGAGGGAAAGACCAUGAUUUAGGGAAGGUCUCAAAGUCCCAGUGACACUUGACUCUUGAAGUUCUGGGCAGCUGGACUAAAUCCAGUUAGCCUAGGACUGAAGGAUGCAAAGGUAACUGCAUCCUGUCCUGAGUUCUGUGUUCUGCCUUGAGGAACUGAACCGCCAUUUCUACUACAGAUGUGGAGCUUUUGAAUUUCCUAACUCUCCCUCUUUCCCCUGUUCUGCACUUGUUAUGCCAUGCUCAGCAGUUGCAAAAAACAGACUUCUGGACCAGGAGAAGUGAAUAAAGAAUAUCUCAAGGGCCUGUCAAUCCUAGUUCUUAAUUGACUCCAGGGGUCAUAAUUAAGCAAUGGAAUAUUUUCCCUCCUCUCUAGGGGAAUCUAUUGCCUCCACAGCAUUCCUAGACCCUGCCAUACCAGUGAGUGAGAGCCUGAGUAUGUUUUGUUUUCACAAUGGUUUAAAUGAUUGGAUAUUUUGGAGUGCACAGGAAGACUCUGUAGACUGAACUAUCAAUAUUUGCCCAUAUUUAGUACUGUUUUUCAUUCAAGCAUAGCAUGUUUUCAGUUCAAUUCUGCAAUGCCCCUUACUGGGUUCCAGAGGAGAUCACCUCCACCACCCCCAAUUACUCAGACAUGCAAUAGAGAAUGUAAAUCCCCCCUCAGUGGCCAUUUAACUUAAAUAUGAUACAAUAAAAACAGUGCUGCAUGUCAAAAGGGAAAAAGUUUCCUAUUGUAUAAUACCUGAGCACAUUUAAACAGUUUUUGCUAAUGGAAAUAGUAAGGGAAUCUGUCCAGGUUUAAUUAAUAAGCAAAUUUAAAGAAAAAGUUCACCAGAUGAAGGGAGCUAGCAUAAAGGACUCUAUAGAAUCCAAGUAUCUGUCAGGGCAAUAUGAGACAAGGGAUAACAACCAGAGUUUGAAUUAAAGAUGAAAGAAAGAUGGCAAUAUGCAGUAGUGUAACAAAGGGGUGGAUACCCCAGGUACCAGACCCAGGCACCCACUUAGAGGGAGUGCAAGAACGAUAUCCACUGCUACUACCAGUCCAGUCCCUGCUUCCAAUGCUGCCCCCUAAGUUAUGUAUCUGGUGAUAGAUCAUUAUAUACAAACUAAACUUUGAUGCUUUAAGCCAUCAGACGAACCACCCACAGUAGCUUGCACAAGUUCACAGGAUAUUGUGCAUUCCUUUUGAACACACCUUCAUUGGGUUUUAAACGUGCCCAUCGUAUCUGAUAUGCCCCUUGGGCUUCGUUCUUUCUUGCCUGGGGCUGAAUGGAUGAAGAAGUGGCAUAACAUUUUACAAAAAGGCCAAGAACUUCUAGCAAAAAAAAAAAAAAUUAGAUCACUCAGUAAAUUCUGCAGAUCAAUGACUUCAGCUCUGCCUUCUUAAAAGAGGAAUGGAUUAGUUAAUAAUGUUGACAAUAUAAAUUAUCUGUACAAGUUGUAGUAGUCAUUUUCAGGAAACUUAAAAAACAAAUAAAUGGUUUUCAUUUCAUAUGAAAAUGGUACUUUUUAAUAACUUUUUUCAAUAAAAAAUUUGAAAGACUUUUUUUCAUUAAAUAAAAAAGAGGUAUUUCCCAUUUGCUUUUACUUCUUA